rnacentral:tRNA from 1 species
AAAGGGAGACCUAAUUCCAGUAGGAGACGAAAAAAAAGUAGUCGCUACCAAGAAUCAAUCCCAAAAGGUCGGAGCGAGGCAAAAUUGGCUUUCAAACUAGGUUCUGGGUUCACACAAGACCUGAAUCAGGAACAAGGGCUAUUAGCUCAGGUGGUUAGAGCGCACCCCUGAUAAGGGUGAGGUCCCUGGUUCGAGUCCAGGAUGGCCCACCUGCACAGGUGGAAGAAAGAAAAGAAGCUCCGAAUCAGCACCUUAUCUUACUUAUAUAGUAAGAGAGAAUGCUGGCUCUGAGUACAGAGUCCAGAGGAACCUUGAAAACUGCAUAGAGCUAGGUGAAAAAGCCAAAAAAGAAGACCGCAAG